GACGAACGCUGGCGGCGUGCUUAACACAUGCAAGUCGAACGGAAAGGCCCUGCUUUUGUGGGGUGCUCGAGUGGCGAACGGGUGAGUAACACGUGAGUAGCCUGCCCUUGACUUUGGGAUAACUUCAGGAAACUGGGGCUAAUACCGGAUAGGAGCUCCUGCUGCAUGGUGGGGGUUGGAAAGUUUCGGCGGUUGGGGAUGGACUCGCGGCUUAUCAGCUUGUUGGUGGGGUAGUGGCUUACCAAGGCUUUGACGGGUAGCCGGCCUGAGAGGGUGACCGGCCACAUUGGGACUGAGAUACGGCCCAGACUCCUACGGGAGGCAGCAGUGGGGAAUAUUGCACAAUGGGCGGAAGCCUGAUGCAGCAACGCCGCGUGCGGGAUGACGGCCUUCGGGUUGUAAACCGCUUUCGCCUGAGACGAAGCGUGAGUGACGGUAAUGGGUAAAGAAGCACCGGCUAACUACGUG
rnacentral:rRNA from 1 species